rnacentral:rRNA from 1 species
GUAAGGCCCUUCGGGGUACACGAGCGGCGAACGGGUGAGUAACACGUGAGCAACCUGCCCCCGACUCCGGGAUAAGCGGUGGAAACGCCGUCUAAUACCGGAUACGACACACCGCCUCAUGGCGGUGUGUGGAAAGUUUUUCGGUCGGGGAUGGGCUCGCGGCCUAUCAGCUUGUUGGUGGGGUAACGGCCUACCAAGGCGAUUACGGGUAGCCGGCCUGAGAGGGCGACCGGCCACACUGGGACUGAGACACGGCCCAGACUCCUGCGGGAGGCAGCAGUGGGGAAUAUUGCGCAAUGGGCGAAAGCCUGACGCAGCGACGCCGCGUGGGGGAUGACGGCCUUCGGGUUGUAAACCUCUUUUACCACCAACGCAGGCUCCCAGUUCUCUGGGGGUUGACGGUAGGUGGGGAAUAAGGACCGGCUAACUACGUGCCAGCAGCCGCGGUAAUACGUAGGGUCCGAGCGUUGUCCGGAAUUAUUGGGCGUAAAGAGCUCGUAGGCGGCGUGUCGCGUCUGCUGUGAAAGACCGGGGCUUAACUCCGGUUCUGCAGUGGAUACGGGCAUGCUAGAGGUAGGUAGGGGAGACUGGAAUUCCUGGUGUAGCGGUGAAAUGCGCAGAUAUCAGGAGGAACACCGGUGGCGAAGGCGGGUCUCUGGGCCUUACCUGACGCUGAGGAGCGAAAGCAUGGGGAGCGAACAGGAUUAGAUACCCUGGUAGUCCAUGCCGUACACGUUGGGCGCUAGGUGUGGGGACUUUCCACGGUUUCCGCGCCGCAGCUAACGCAUUAAGCGCCCCGCCUGGGGAGUACGGCCGCAAGGCUAAAACUCACAGGAAU